AUGGCCUUGAAUUUUGCAAUAAGGCUUUCGACAAAGUUUGUGUUGCCUCUGUCUUAUCCACAUAUAAGUCGAUCUAAUCUUCAAAUCAAAACACGGAAGAACAUUCCAUUUUCACCGCUUCGAAACCCUUCCAUUUCCCCUAAAUUUCAAACCCUAACAUCGAAAAUCCGCGUGCGAUCUUCCCAAAUCGUCAACAAACCAAUCAAUCUUCGUCUUCUUCCUCUCCGGGACAUUCGUUUGUCAAAGACGGAAAACUAA